UCCAGGGUCAGCCAUCCGCACUAAAGACUGUGCCCUGGCUGGAGGGGUGAGUUAUCUAAAAGAAACCACCACAGCCCCAGAGUGACUGUUGACAAGGGCUGCUACCCCACAAGGAUACUGUGAUGCCAUGCCUGGCCAUGAGGCAGUGCAGGGUGGUGAGUAAACCCUGUUACAAUGCUUUUUCUUAAAUUCCUUUAAUUGCAGCGUGUCUGAAACAACUACACUUUUGUAGUUUUCCUUGUCCGCUCUCUCUUUUCCUACCCCUCACGGCAAGCACUGUAUCUCAGCCCUAGUCUACAUCCAGCUGAUGACAGCACCUUUGGUGACCAGUAAAUGACUGACUGACUGACCUUGGCCACUUCUAUAUUGCGUCCUUUGGAAGAAAUGAACUCAAAGAUUGCCUACUUGGAACUUCUUCUUUUUGGAUGGGAUAAGUAUUGCUGGUUUCCACUCCACCAAGGAAUGAAAGAAGGCAGAGAGACUUGAGCAGGAAAGAACUACUACUACCGAUAGGCACAGCUACUGAAAAAAACCUGCACCAUAAGAAAGGAUAGGCAUUUGUUGUCAGAGUUAACUCCUUGUACGUGCCUCUAAACCAGCAGGUCCCAAGUUGAGGUUUAUGUAUCGGUGGUGGCACAUGGAGGACCUGAUGGUGGUCUUCAGUGAGCAGGCAGAUCUCACGUUCCUAGUACUGAAAUUACUGUCAAUAUGUUCCUAGUGCUACUUUUCUUUGGAAGCAUUUGCUGUACCUGCCACGAAGGUGUUACCUGAUCUCGAAGAGGUGAGGAAAGGGUCCAUAGAACAAUUUUUAUAAGAUUAGGCCCACAUCAAAACUGUUUUAGAACCCCAGAGGAAAGACAAGCAAAGGCUUCUGCAGUGGCGCCAUCUGUUGACUUUGAAUGUACAGAGGCUCCUAUUAGCAACUCCGUAUUUUCGGUUGCAUUAUAAAAGGG